rnacentral:rRNA from 1 species
GAUGGGUUGUCGCUGGCUUCUAGGAGCAUGUGCACAUCUGUCAUUUUUAUCCAUCCACCUGUGCACCUUUUGUAGUCUUUGGAGGUAAUAAGCGUGAAUCUAUCGAGGUCCUCUGGUCGUCGGAAAGAGGUGUUUGCCAUAUGGCUCGCCUUUGAUACUCGCGAGUUACUCUAAGACUAUGUUCUUUCAUAUACCACGAAUGUAAUAGAAUGUAUUCAUUGGGCCUCAGUGCCUAUAAAACAUAUACAACUUUCAGCAACGGAUCUCUUGGCUCUCGCAUCGAUGAAGAACGCAGCGAAAUGCGAUAAGUAAUGUGAAUUGCAGAAUUCAGUGAAUCAUCGAAUCUUUGAACGCACCUUGCGCUCCUUGGUAUUCCGAGGAGCAUGCCUGUUUGAGUGUCAUUAAAUUCUCAACCCCUUCCGGUUUUUUUGACUGGCUUUUGGGGCUUGGAUGUGGGGGAUUCAUUUGCGGGCCUCUGUAGAGGUCGGCUCCCCUGAAAUGCAUUAGUGGAACCGUUUGCGGUUACCGUCGCUGGUGUGAUAACUAUCUAUGCCAAAGACAAACUGCUCUCUGAUAGUUCUGCUUCUAACCGUCCAUUUAUUGGACAACAUUAUUAUGAACACUUGACCUCAAAUCAGGUAGGACUACCCGCUGAACUUAAGCAUAUCAAUAAGCGGAGGAAAAGAAACUAACAAGGAUUCCCCUAGUAACUGCGAGUGAAGCGGGAAAAGCUCAAAUUUAAAAUCUGGCGGUCUUUGGCCGUCCGAGUUGUAAUCUAGAGAAGCGACACCCGCGCUGGACCGUGUACAAGUCUCCUGGAAUGGAGCGUCAUAGAGGGUGAGAAUCCCGUCUCUGACACGGACUACCAGGGCUUUGUGGUGCGCUCUCAAAGAGUCGAGUUGUUUGGGAAUGCAGCUCUAAAUGGGUGGUAAAUUCCAUCUAAAGCUAAAUAUUGGCGAGAGACCGAUAGCGAACAAGUACCGUGAGGGAAAGAUGAAAAGAACUUUGGAAAGAGAGUUAAACAGUACGUGAAAUUGCUGAAAGGGAAACGCUUGAAGUCAGUCGCGUUGGCCGGGGAUCAGCCUCGCUUUUGCGUGGUGUAUUUCCUGGUUGACGGGUCAGCAUCAAUUUUGACCGCUGGAAAAGGACUUGGGGAAUGUGGCAUCUUCGGAUGUGUUAUAGCCCUUUGUCGCAUACGGCGGUUGGGAUUGAGGAACUCAGCACGCCGCAAGGCCGGGUUUCGACCACGUUCGUGCUUAGGAUGCUGGCAUAAUGGCUUUAAUCGACCCGUCUUGAAACACGGACCAAGGAGUCUAACAUGCCUGCGAGUGUUUGGGUGGAAAACCCGAGCGCGUAAUGAAAGUGAAAGUUGAGAUCCCUGUCGUGGGGAGCAUCGACGCCCGGACCAGAACUUUUGGGACGGAUCUGCGGUAGAGCAUGUAUGUUGGGACCCGAAAGAUGGUGAACUAUGCCUGAAUAGGGUGAAGCCAGAGGAAACUCUGGUGGAGGCUCGUAGCGAUUCUGACGUGCAAAUCGAUCGUCAAAUUUGGGUAUAGGGGCGAAAGACUAAUCGAACGAU